rnacentral:rRNA from 1 species
UACGUAGGUGACAAGCGUUGUCCGGAUUUACUGGGCGUAAAGAGCGCGCAGGCGGUCGAUCAAGUCGAGUGUGAAAGCCCCCGGCUCAACUGGGGAGGGUCAUUCGAUACUGCUGUGACUUGAGUUCGGUAGGGGAGUGGGGAAUUCCUGGUGUAGCGGUGGAAAUGCGCAGAUAUCAGGAGGAACACCGGUGGCGAAGGCGGGUCUCUGGGCCGAUACUGACGCUGAGGAGCGAAAGCGUGGGGAGCGAACAGG